UAGGAUUUCUCCCAAAAGUAAGUAGGAGUGCUCUUCCUUUCAAGCCUUCUGCCUUACAGUCUAUAGACCUUACCUCACUAAUCUUUUAUUUUCUCUCGGGAUUUUGUUUGAGUUGCUGUCUCAGUAGUUGCAUUCCCUCUAGUCCCCUUGAAAGAGGAAAAGGGCCUAAGCCUGUUUAGUUCCAUCUCCUUGAGUUUCAAUUGGAAUGCUAGGGGUUUACGUCCUAGGGUAAGUCCCAAAGUCCUAAGUUCUUCCUUUCAAUCCAAGUCGAGGUAAUAGUUUCUAUGGUA
rnacentral:lncRNA from 1 species